rnacentral:tRNA from 1 species
GGAGAGAUGGCUCAGUGGUUAAGAGCACUGACUGAUAUUCUAGAGGGUCUGAGUUCAAUUCCCAGCAACCACA